UACGGAGGAUGCGAGCGUUAUCCGGAUUUAUUGGGUUUAAAGGGUGUGUAGGCGGGAUGCCAAGUCAGCGGUAAAAAUGCGGUGCUCAACGCCGUCGAGCCGUUGAAACUGGCGUUCUUGAGUGGGCGAGAAGUAUGCGGAAUGCGUGGUGUAGCGGUGAAAUGCAUAGAUAUCACGCAGAACUCCGAUUGCGAAGGCAGCAUACCGGCGCCCUACUGACGCUGAGGCACGAAAGCGUGGGUAUCGAACAGG
rnacentral:rRNA from 1 species